rnacentral:rRNA from 1 species
GUGAUGCAGCGACGCCGCGUGAGGGAUGACGGCCUUCGGGUUGUAAACCUCUUUCAGUAGGGAAGAAGCGUAAGUGACGGUACCUGCAGAAGAAGCGCCGGCUAACUACGUGCCAGCAGCCGCGGUAAUACGUAGGGCGCAAGCGUUAUCCGGAAUUAUUGGGCGUAAAGAGCUCGUAGGCGGUUUGUCGCGUCUGCUGUGAAAGACCGGGGCUCAACUCCGGUUCUGCAGUGGGUACGGGCAGACUAGAGUGCAGUAGGGGAGACUGGAAUUCCUGGUGUAGCGGUGAAAUGCGCAGAUAUCAGGAGGAACACCGAUGGCGAAGGCAGGUCUCUGGGCUGUAACUGACGCUGAGGAGCGAAAGCAUGGGGAGCGAACAGGAUUAGAUACCCUGGUAGUCCAUGCCGUAAACGUUGGGCACUAGGUGUGGGGGACAUUCCACGUUUUCCGCGCCGUAGCUAACGCAUUAAGUGCCCCGCCUGGGGAGUACGGCCGCAAGGCUAAAACUCAAAGGAAUUGACGGGGGCCCGCACAAGCGGCGGAGCAUGCGGAUUAAUUCGAUGCAACGCGAAGAACCUUACCAAGGCUUGACAUGAACCGGAAAGACCUGGAAACAGGUGCCCCGCUUGCGGUCGGUUUACAGGUGGUGCAUGGUUGUCGUCAGCUCGUGUCGUGAGAUGUUGGGUUAAGUCCCGCAACGAGCGCAACCCUCGUUCUAUGUUGCCAGCGGUUCGGCCGGGGACUCAUA